rnacentral:rRNA from 1 species
AGUGAACGCUGGCGGUAGGCCUAACACAUGCAAGUCGAACGGCAGCACAGUAAUAGCUUGCGCUUACGGGGGGCGAGUGGCGGACGGUGGAGGGAUACAUCGGAAUCUACGUUUUCGUGGGGGAUGACGUAGGGAAACUUACGCUAAUACCGCAUACGACCUACGGGGGAAAGCAGCGGAUCUUCGGACCUUGCGCGAUUGAAUGAGCCGAUGUCGGGUUGGCUAGGUGGCGGGGUAACGGCCCACCAAGGCGACGAUCCGGAGGUGGUCUGAUAGGAGGAGCAGUCAAAUGGGAACUGAGACAGGGGCCAGACGCCGACGGGAGGCAGCAGUGGGGAAUAUUGGACAACGGGCGAAAGCCUAAUCCAACCAUGCCGGGGGGGAGAAGAAGUUCUUCGGAUUGUAAAGCACUUGAAGUUGGGAGGAAGGGCAGGAAGUUAAUACCCUGCUGGAUGGACGUUACCAACAGAAUAAGCACCGGCUAACUUCGUG